UUCGGUGGCGAUGGCGGAGAGGAACCACCCGUUCCCAUCCCGAACACGGAAGUUAAGCUCUCCAGCGCCGAUGGUACUGCGGGGCUGCCCCCGUGGGAGAGUAGGUCGCCGCCGAAU
rfam:Deltaproteobacteria bacterium RBG_16_64_85 RBG_16_scaffold_13534, whole genome shotgun sequence.